rnacentral:rRNA from 1 species
AUGCAGUCGACGGUGAACACGGAGCUUGCUCUGUGGGAUCAGUGGCGAACGGGUGAGUAACACGUGAGCAACCUGCCCCUGACUCUGGGAUAAGCGCUGGAAACGGCGUCUAAUACUGGAUAUGUGACGUGAUCGCAUGGUCUGCGUCUGGAAAGAAUUUCGGUUGGGGAUGGGCUCGCGGCCUAUCAGCUUGUUGGUGAGGUAAUGGCUCACCAAGGCGUCGACGGGUAGCCGGCCUGAGAGGGUGACCGGCCACACUGGGACUGAGACACGGCCCAGACUCCUACGGGAGGCAGCAGUGGGGAAUAUUGCACAAUGGGCGCAAGCCUGAUGCAGCAACGCCGCGUGAGGGACGACGGCCUUCGGGUUGUAAACCUCUUUUAGCAGGGAAGAAGCGAAAGUGACGGUACCUGCAGAAAAAGCGCCGGCUAACUACGUGCCAGCAGCCGCGGUAAUACGUAGGGCGCAAGCGUUAUCCGGAAUUAUUGGGCGUAAAGAGCUCGUAGGCGGUUUGUCGCGUCUGCUGUGAAAUCCGGAGGCUCAACCUCCGGCCUGCAGUGGGUACGGGCAGACUAGAGUGCGGUAGGGGAGAUUGGAAUUCCUGGUGUAGCGGUGGAAUGCGCAGAUAUCAGGAGGAACACCGAUGGCGAAGGCAGAUCUCUGGGCCGUAACUGACGCUGAG